ACACCGAUGGUGAAGCGGUUAUCAUGCUUGCCUUCCAUACAGUGAGAUUGGAAUCUUGGUAGCAAGCGGCAGGGGUUCGACUCCCCUUCGGUGUA